rnacentral:rRNA from 1 species
ACGAAAUGUAGCAAUACAUUUAGUGGCGGAAGGGUUAGUAAUACAUGGGUAACCUGCCAAUAACUUGGGAAUAACAGUUGGAAACGACUGCUAAUACCGAAUGUGGUAGUGAUAAGUCAUCUUAAUACUAUUAAAGUAGGGGAUCGCAAGACCUUACGGUUAAAGAGAGGCCCAUGGGAUAUCAGCUAGUUGGUGAGGUAAGAGCUCACCAAGG